AAAGGUGUAGUUAAUAGUUGGGAACACAGUUUGAUGCAGGCAGUACACAACUCCCAGCAUCACAGGGCUGUCCUGGUUUCAGCUGGGAUAGAGUUAAUUGUCUUCCUAGUAGCUGGUAUAACUCUACAGUUAUAGGCUAUAAAUACGGUAUGGAUGCUGUAAUGAUUAAUACCACAGAAUCACAGAAUCGUUGUAAUUAGAAGGUGCCUCCAGAGAUCAUCUAGUCCAAUGCUAAAGGCAGGGUCAGUCGGAGCAGGGCAUGAAGCGCUGAGUCUGCUGUAUCCCUGCCUCCCCACACUUUUUGCGGGGGGCUGUGAGGCAGGGCAACGUACUGGCAAGGCAGGUUGUGCCAGGAGUGGGGCUUUUCUUCUUUUGGAGCUGCCCCUGACUUCUCCAAAGAAGCUACCCAAGACGAUUUUUCUUUUUUGGAGGAAACUCCUCUCCGGGAUCCACCUGUGACUCCUCCCAGUAACUCCCAGAGUCUUGUGACCUCUCUUUUAGGUACCUGAGAUCCCAGGCAGGAGCCACAGACUCCUCCAAGGAAGCUACCCAAGGUGAUUUUUCUCCUUUGGAGGAAACUCUCUGUGAGGGACUGAGAGUUAAUAUCUCAAACAUUGUGGUGGGGCAAGUUCUGCUUAACAACUGACUGCAUAACAAGAAACUCUGCCUAGGAAGGAACCCCAGGUGAAAAGAAGCUGAUCAGCACCCAUUGGCAACAGGAGGGGAGGGGAGGUCAUGCCGGAGGGUGCACAGCUCCCUGGUCUGAUGUGCUGAGCUGGGCAACUUACCGUGCAGGGAAGGGGAAGUUACUCCCCAAAUGACCCCCAAGUCCCAAAGGCUCAGAAACCGCUCAUGACACCUAAUUAGCCUAACAAGUUCGAGUACCCUCCCAAAGGAGGGGCAAGGAUGAUAAAAGGACACAAACUGAAGCCCCACGUGUGCAAGCCCACCGGGACUGGACCCGUUGGCUGACUGAACCAAAGCUGGACCCAGGACCAGUGAAAUCUUUCCCUUCUCUCUCUCUCUUUCCCUUUUCCGUAAUCCCUACACCUCGUCUCGUUGACCAAGUCUGGGACUAGGAGCGGAUCCAGCCACCCCUGGGCUCCUCUCUGAGAAGGAGUCUAGAAAGCGAGGGGGUCUCCUCUGAACCUCGUGACUCGACGGGAGGGCUCGCCUUAUUGUCUUCCCUGAACUGAUUCCCAAAUAAGCCAGGUGUCUAGGAUACGUUUGGUGAUGUAGGGUUAGCAUGUUACACAGUUUACUGACGUAGUUUCACACCGGUUUUGGUGGUGAGCAUGCCAGUUCUUGUUGUGAGCAAAUAAAAAUUGAGUUUUAUGAGUUAUAGGAUCCCUGGUGUUGUUUCGCCUUAAUCCUGACCGGGGAAUCAGCAAACCUGAGCCAUCCUGAGAAAUUGGGACGUGACAGUGUGUCUCCUGCCCAGCCCCCCCUGCGUGUAUGUGGGCGUCUCUACCUGCCCGCCCAUCUUGCCCCUCUGUGGGCGUGUCUCCUCCACCACCCUGCCUGUGUGUCUGUGGGUGUGUCUCCCCCCUGACCACACCCCAUGUGUCUGUGGGUGUGUCCCUCGCCCCCCCCUUGCAUGUCCGUGAGUGUGUCACUGCCUUCCCUUGCCUGUCCGUGGGGGUGCUCCCACUGCCCCGCCCCCAAUAUGUCCAUGGGUGUGGCCCUCCCCCACUGCCCCCCCUGCAUGUCCGUGGGUGUGUCUGCCUGCUCUCCCUAAGUGACCGUGGGUGGGUGGACACAUUUGGCUCCCACACUUGUCUGUUGGUGUGUCUCCCUGCCCCCCCUCCCCCUUCAUGGCCGUGGGUGUGUCUCUCCCCCCCACGGCUCUUGUGGCUGUGGGUGUGUCUGUCAUCCCACACCUCCCCUGUGUGUCCCUGGGUGUGCCCCUCUUCCCCUCCCCUGCCUCCGUGUCAUUGGGUGUUUCUCUCCCUUGACCCCCCUUUGCGUCGGUAGCUGUUGCGGUGGAUCCGUAAGCGCAGAUUCUGAUUGUGUACGACCUCGUCCCGCAGCCUCCCGGGGUUCUCUCCCUGCAGCAGUGCUGUAAGGAAGGGAGGACACGUUUUCCAACCCCGGCAAGAGUGUUUACUUGUGUGCUAAGCAGGUGUUCAAAAUGGUAUCAAUUAGCCUAAAUGCUGAUUUUAAGUGUUCAAAUGGCUCUUAACUUUUAAAGGAGGGUGGUGUAUUUCGAGCUGACCUGUUUACCUGGAAUCCUCCUUUAGCUCAGCGACUCUCCUUGUGCACCCCCAGCCUCCGCUGGCAGGGCGGUGUGAGAAGCUGGAAGGUCCUUGACUUAGUAUAAACCCUGCUUAGCAACCACUUAAAGCGUCGGUGUGUUGUCAACGUUUAUCUCGUCCUAAAUCCAAAAUGGCCCUGUACAGCUACUCGGAAGAAAAUUAACUUUAUUCCAGCCAAAAACCAGGACAACCCCAACCCCCCUGAUUCUGGGUCUGCAACAGGGGAAAAAAACAAAGGAAUUUGGGACUCCUGGGAAAGCCAAAUCCGCCUGGAUCUGUGCAGCUGGAAAGGAAAAAAUCCCACCCCCGUUUUUCACGCAGCCAAACCACAACCAAAAGAUCACCCCUUUUUAUGUUGUGGAAAAGCACUGAAACACACCCAAACUGAGUAUUUUGAAAAAGCAAAAAACUCGCCCAGUUUGGGGAAGAUUGGGGGCGAAGCACAGGCAGUUUGAGGGGCAUUGCUGGGGGUCCUCCCAGUGUGGAUGAUCUGGUGUGGAUUCUCUGUUGCGGUUAUCCCAGGUGAGUUACCUGCUGUGGAUCAUCCCGGGUGGACUCCCUGGGCAUCUGUUGACUGGCUGCUGUCACUCCCACAACCCUGAUGCCACGUGCAGACGGAUACCGCAGUCCCUGGGGCUUGGUCCAGGGCAA